rnacentral:rRNA from 1 species
CACUCCUGCGGGAGGCAGCAGUGGGGAAUUUUGGACAAUGGGCGAAAGCCUGAUCCAGCAAUGCCGCGUGAGUGAAGAAGGCCUUCGGGUUGUAAAGCUCUUUUGUCAGGGAAGAAACGGUGAAAGCUAAUAUCUUUUGCUAAUGACGGUACCUGAAGAAUAAGCACCGGCUAACUACGUGCCAGCAGCCGCGGUAAUACGUAGGGUGCAAGCGUUAAUCGGAAUUACUGGGCGUAAAGCGUGCGCAGGCGGUUUUGUAAGUCUGAUGUGAAAUCCCCGGGCUCAACCUGGGAAUUGCAUUGGAGACUGCAAGGCUAGAAUCUGGCAGAGGGGGGUAGAAUUCCACGUGUAGCAGUGAAAUGCGUAGAUAUGUGGAGGAACACCGAUGGCGAAGGCAGCCCCCUGGGUCAAGAUUGACGCUCAUGCACGAAAGCGUGGGGAGCAAACAGGAUUAGAAACCCUGGUAGUCCCAU